rnacentral:lncRNA from 1 species
GAAGGGCCUCCAACUGAAGAAGGCGACUUCUCCGUUGCUAUGUACAAGUACAUAGGUGAUAUUCUUAUGGAAGAGGACUUGGAGGAUAAGAAUUGCAUGUUGCAGGACAGCGUGGCCCUCCUAGCUGCUGAGAAAUCCUUCUAUGAUGUUCUUGGUGAGCCGUUUCUCCCUCAACCCAAUUCCCCUCAGUCUAUUGGUCGAAACAUCGAGAGCCCAGAUGAUAAUCCUGUGACAAGUUGCAGCAGUUCCAGUAGUAACAGCGAUGCUACUGCUAAUAGCUUUGUUGAAUCAGACUGGGCAGGCCAGUUUGAAGCCUCCUACCUGCAAACCCCUCUUGUGAAUCAGGUAUGGCAGUCCAAUGUUAUGUCGAAUUCACAGUUCAUAGACUCUCCUGUAAGUGCCCCUUUGAAAGGUGGUUUAUUUAGGGAGAGCCAAUCUGUUGAACGUGUAAUUUAUGAUCUGGAGAACAAUAUAGCGAUUCCUUUUGAAGCGAAUGGAAAGGCUCUGGAGACGGAAAAGGGUGGUAUCAGAGGAAAGAAAAAGCAACAACGGGGUGAUGGUUAUGAUUCAGAAGAGAGGAGCACGAAACAAUCUGCACUUUAUGCUGAAGAGUGUGAGCCAUCUGAGGUUUUCGACAGUGCAUUGCUCUGUGAAGAUUUAAAUGUGUC